AUAUAUAUAAAUAUAUAUAUAUAUAGAAAUAUAGAUAUAAAUAUAUCAAUAAAUAAUCCGGUAAUAAACAAAUCAUACGAGGGCAGAAAAGUAAUUUGGCCCUAACCCUAGGAAGCCCUAUAUAAGCAUCUCUAAACCUAACCCUCACAUUUUGGCCGCCCCUCCUUUCUUCUUCCAUUGCCUCUCUCUCUCUCUCUCUCUCUCUCUCUCUCUCUCUGCCUCUCUCCCUCUCGGGUCCUUCUCGUUUCAUCUUCCGUUGUCUCUCUCUCACAGCUUUCAUCUUCUUGUUUGAUUUAUGUUUGUAUUUUGUUCUUCUUUUAAUGUUUUACUUUCAGAUGAACAUUGUUUUUUACGGUCUUUCAUUUUUUUUUGUUUUUCCUUUUAGAUCUGAACAUAUUUGUUUUUGUUUGAUUUUUUUCGCCGUGUUUUGUUCUUGUUUUUGUCUCGUUUUAUCUUGUUCUUAUUGUCUCCGAUUUUGUUGUUUGAAAUUUCAAAUUUUCAGAUCUGUACAACAACUAUGGUCACCACAUCUACGGUCGUUGCCCCUCUCUCUCUCUCUCUCUCUCUCUCUCUCUCUCUCUCUCUCUCUCUCUCUCUCUCUCUCAGCUUUCAUGUUCUUAUUUGAUUUAUGUUUAUAUUUUCUUCUUCUUUUAAUAUUUUGCAGUUUCGUUCGCAGCACUCAUCUUUACAGUAUAAAUUAAUUUUUUUUUAACAUUUAGAUCUGUACAACAGAUUUGUUCAUGUUUUUACGGUUUUUCAAUUUUUUUUGUUUUUCCUCUUAGAUCUGAACAGAUUUGUUUUUGUUUUAUUUUCUUUCUCCUUUUUUGUUCUUGUUUUUGUCUCUUGUCUUAUCUUGUUCUUAUUGUUUCCGAUUUUGUUGUUUCAAGUUUGAAAUUUUUAGAUCCACUGGCUAUGGCCGCGCGCAGCAGGCCACGACCACCGCGGAAGGAAGAUUUUGUUUUUCCUGAUGGAUAUUUCUCGGUUUCUCGGAUGAAUCUAUUGUUUGUUGGGUGUCCCUCACAUCGCCGUUCACAUCCGCUGCAAAUGGCUACUCGUGGGAGCGCACGGCCACGCCGGAAGCACAACAACAAACCAGAAGAUGAAAUUUCAGAAGAUUGAAUUUGUAUAUGAAUCCUUAAAUUUCUUUGUUCGAUCUACUCUCUGUAAAUAAAGAUGUAAAUAUGCAAACACAAUUUUUAUCUUUC